AUACAGAGGGUGCGAGCGUUAAUCGGAAUUACUGGGCGUAAAGCGCGCGUAGGCGGCUUAUUAAGUCAGAUGUGAAAUCCCCGGGCUCAACCUGGGAACUGCAUCUGAUUCUGGUAAGCUAGAGUUUGGGGGAGGGAAGUAGAAUUUCAGGUGUAGCGGUGAAAUGCAUAGAUAUCUGAAGGAAUACCAGUGGCGAAGGCGGCUUCCUGGCCUAAAACUGACGCUGAGGUGCGAAAGCGUGGGUAGCAAACGGGAUUAGAAACCCCAGUAGUCC
rnacentral:rRNA from 1 species